rnacentral:rRNA from 1 species
GAUCAUGGCUCAGGAUGAACGCUAGCGGCAGGCUUAACACAUGCAAGUCGAGGGGUAUAGUUCUUCGGAACUAGAGACCGGCGCACGGGUGCGUAACGCGUAUGCAAUCUACCUUUCACAAAGGGAUAGCCCAGAGAAAUUUGGAUUAAUACCUUAUAGUAAUACGACUUGGCAUCAAGAUGUAUUUAAAGAUUUAUCGGUGAAAGAUGAGCAUGCGUCCCAUUAGCUUGUUGGUAAGGUAACGGCUUACCAAGGCAACGAUGGGUAGGGGUCCUGAGAGGGAGAUCCCCCACACUGGUACUGAGACACGGACCAGACUCCUACGGGAGGCAGCAGUGAGGAAUAUUGGACAAUGGGCGCAAGCCUGAUCCAGCCAUGCCGCGUGCAGGAUGACGGUCCUAUGGAUUGUAAACUGCUUUUGUACAGGAAGAAACCCUUUCACGUGUGGAAGAUUGACGGUACUGUAAGAAUAAGGAUCGGCUAACUCCGUG